GACGAACGCUGGCGGCGUGCUUAACACAUGCAAGUCGAACGGAAAGGCCCUGCUUUUGUGGGGUGCUCGAGUGGCGAACGGGUGAGUAACACGUGAGUAACCUGCCCUUGACUUUGGGAUAACUUCAGGAAACUGGGGCUAAUACCGGAUAGGAGCUCCCGCUGCAUGGUGGGGGUUGGAAAGUUUCGGCGGUUGGGGAUGGACUCGCGGCUUAUCAGCUUGUUGGUGGGGUAGUGGCUUACCAAGGCUUUGACGGGUAGCCGGCCUGAGAGGGUGACCGGCCACAUUGGGACUGAGGUACGGCCCAGACUCGUACGGGAGGCAGCAGUGGGGAAUAUUGCACAAUGGGCGGAAGCCUGAUGCAGCAACGCCGCGUGCGGGAUGACGGCCUUCGGGUUGUAAACCGCUUUCGCCUGUGACGAAGCGUGAGUGACGGUAAUGGGUAAAGAAGCACCGGCUAACUACGUG
rnacentral:rRNA from 1 species